UACGAAGGGGCUAGCGUUGCUCGGAAUCACUGGGCGUAAAGGGUGCGUAGGCGGGUCUUUAAGUCAGGGGUGAAAUCCUGGAGCUCAACUCCAGAACUGCCUUUGAUACUGAAGAUCUUGAGUUCGGGAGAGGUGAGUGGAACUGCGAGUGUAGAGGUGAAAUUCGUAGAUAUUCGCAAGAACACCAGUGGCGAAGGCGGCUCACUGGCCCGAUACUGACGCUGAGGCACGAAAGCUAGGGAGCAAACGGG
rnacentral:rRNA from 1 species